AGAUGCUCGAAGUUGUUUGUUUGGAAGGCCACGGGGAUUCUUUUUCAUCCAGGGACGUUCAUCUUCUACAGAUGUGCAGUGGAGUCGAUGAGAAUGCUGUGGGAGCCUGCUCGGAACUUAUUUUUGCACCCAUUGAUGAGAUGUUUCCAGAUGAUGCACCGCUGCUGCCUUCUGGUUUCCGUAUAAUUCCACUUGAUUCAAAAUCAGGCGAUGCACAGGAUGUAUUGACCUCACACAAGACACUAGAUUUGACAUCGAGUCUUGAAGUUGGCCCAGCAACCAGCCAUGGUGCAGAAAAUACAGGGUCUUCUUACAGCGCACGAGCAGUAUUGACUAUUGCUUUCCAAUUCCCAUUUGAGAGCAAUUUACAU